GCAUAUCAAUAAGCGGAGGAAAAGAAACCAACAGGGAUUGCCCUAGUAACGGCGAGUGAAGCGGCAACAGCUCAAAUUUGAAAUCUGGCUUCGGCCCGAGUUGUAAUUUGCAGAGGAAGCUUUAGGCGCGGCACCUUCUGAGUCCCCUGGAACGGGGCGCCAUAGAGGGUGAGAGCCCCGUAUAGUUGGAUGCCUAGCCUGUGUAAAGCUCCUUCGACGAGUCGAGUAGUUUGGGAAUGCUGCUCAAAAUGGGAGGUAAAUUUCUUCUAAAGCUAAAUACCGGCCAGAGACCGAUAGCGCACAAGUAGAGUGAUCGAAAGAUGAAAAGCACUUUGAAAAGAGGGUUAAAUAGCACGUGAAAUUGUUGAAAGGGAAGCGCUUGUGACCAGACUUGCGCCGGGCGGAUCAUCCGGUGUUCUCACCGGUGCACUCCGCCCGGCUCAGGCCAGCAUCGGUUCUCGCGGGGGGAUAAAGGUCUCGGGAACGUAGCUCCUCCGGGAGUGUUAUAGCCCGGGGCGUAAUGCCCUCGCGGGGACCGAGGUUCGCGCAUCUGCAAGGAUGCUGGCGUAAUGGUCAUCAGCGACCCGUCUUGAAACACGGACC
rnacentral:rRNA from 1 species